rnacentral:rRNA from 1 species
UACGUAGGGUGCGAGCGUUGUCCGGAAUUAUUGGGCGUAAAGGGCUCGUAGGCGGUUUGUCGCGUCGGGAGUGAAAUCCACUGGCUUAACUGGUGGCUUGCUUUCGAUACGGGCGGACUGGAGGUAUGCAGGGGAGAACGGAAUUCCUGGUGUAGCGGUGAAAUGCGCAGAUAUCAGGAGGAACACCGGUGGCGAAGGCGGCAUCCUGGACCGACAUUGACGCUGAGGAGCGAAAGCUAGGGGAGCAAACGGG